rnacentral:rRNA from 1 species
UGGAUUAGUGGCGAACGGGUGAGUAACACGUGGGCAAUCUGCCCUUCACUCUGGGACAAGCCCUGGAAACGGGGUCUAAUACCGGAUAACACCCUCGCGGGCAUCUGCGAGGGUUGAAAGCUCCGGCGGUGAAGGAUGAGCCCGCGGCCUAUCAGCUUGUUGGUGAGGUAAUGGCUCACCAAGGCGACGACGGGUAGCCGGCCUGAGAGGGCGACCGGCCACACUGGGACUGAGACACGGCCCAGACUCCUACGGGAGGCAGCAGUGGGGAAUAUUGCACAAUGGGCGAAAGCCUGAUGCAGCGACGCCGCGUGAGGGAUGACGGCCUUCGGGUUGUAACCUCUUUCAGCAGGGAGAAGCGAGAGUGACGGUACCUGCAGAGAAGCGCCGGCUANUACGUGCCAGCAGCCGCGGUAAUACGUAGGGCGCAGCGUUGUCCGAAUUAUGGGCGUAAGAGCUCGUA